rnacentral:rRNA from 1 species
UGAGGAAUAUUGGGCAAUGGGCGCAAGCCUGACCCAGCAACGCCGCGUGCGGGAUGAGGUCCUUCGGGAUGUAAACCGCUUUUCAGGGGGAGCAGCAAGGAGCGUACCCCUGGAAGAAGUCACGGCUAACUACGUGCCAGCAGCCGCGGUAACACGUAGGUGACAAGCGUUAUCCGGAUUUACUGGGCGUAAAGGGUCCGCAGGUGGCUCUGAAGGUCUGCCAUGAAAGCGCCCGGCUUAACCGGGCGAGGUUGGUGGAAACCGUGGGGCUUGAGUCGCGCAGAGGGCACUGGAAUUCCCGGUGUAGUGGUGGAAUGCGUAGAGAUCGGGAGGAACACCAGAGGCGCAAGCGGGUGCCUGGGCGACGACUGACACUGAGGGACGAAAGCGUGGGGAGCAAACAG